UUAUUUGACUAAACCUAGUAGAAAUUAAGAGGAGAUAAGUCGUAACAAGGUAAGCGUACUGGAAAGUGUGCUUGGAUUAAU